rnacentral:rRNA from 1 species
UACGAAGGGGGCUAGCGUUGCUCGGAAUCACUGGGCGUAAAGCGCACGUAGGCGGGAUGGCAAGUCGGUCGUGAAAUCCUUCGGCUCAACCGAAGAACGUCGGCCGAUACUGCCGUUCUUGAGGGAUGCAGAGGAGAUUGGAAUUCCCGGUGUAGCGGUGAAAUGUGUAGAGAUCGGGAGGAACACCGGUGGCGAAGGCGGGUCUCUGGACGGUGAUUGACGCUGAGACGCGAAAGCGUGGGGAGCAAACAGG